rnacentral:rRNA from 1 species
GACGAACGCUGGCGGCGUGCCUAAUACAUGCAAGUAGAACGCUGAAGAGAGGAGCUUGCUCUUCUUGGAUGAGUUGCGAACGGGUGAGUAACGCGUAGGUAACCUGCCUUGUAGCGGGGGAUAACUAUUGGAAACGAUAGCUAAUACCGCAUAACAAUGGAUGACACAUGUCAUUUAUUUGAAAGGGGCAAUUGCUCCACUACAAGAUGGACCUGCGUUGUAUUAGCUAGUAGGUGAGGUAAUGGCUCACCUAGGCGACGAUACAUAGCCGACCUGAGAGGGUGAUCGGCCACACUGGGACUGAGACACGGCCCAGACUCCUACGGGAGGCAGCAGUAGGAAUCUUCGGCAAUGGGGGCAACCCUGACCGAGCAACGCCGCGUGAGUGAAGAAGGUUUUCGGAUCGUAAAGCUCUGUUGUAAGUCAAGAACGGGUGUGAGAGUGGAAAGUUCACACUGUGACGGUAGCUUACCAGAAAGGGACGGCUAACUACGUG